GAAGAAUGCAUUGUUGACUGAGAUGGCAGCAUCUGUUGGGAUAGUAAUGAUGCCUGAGUUGGUAUAGAUGACUGAGGAAAUAAUGGCGGAUGACCUGAUGGUGGUAGAGGAGGAGGUAGCUGUGAUGGUAGAGGUGGGGGUGGCGGUGGCGGUGGUGAUGGGGAUAACGGGGGUGGGGGUGGCGGUGGUGGGGGUGAUGGAGGCAGAGGUGGGGGAGGAGGAGGAGAAUCAAGAGGCAAUGGUGGAGAACCCUCUGGAAGAGGGGGCAACUCACUGCAAACAUUUGAAGCUGGCUCUGUGACCGUAUCUGAUCCCUGCUGUUGUGGAUCCCUUUCAAAAGAACCAUUAACAAACGAGGGUCUUUCAUCCUUU
rnacentral:lncRNA from 1 species